GGGUGCGGCUGGGCAGCUGGUGUGUCCCCUGGUCUUCAAAACCAGUGUGAGGCGUGUGGAACGUCUUGGGUGGGUUCGAUUCCCACACGUAUCC
rnacentral:tRNA from 1 species